rnacentral:misc_RNA from 1 species
AACCAUAGAAACCUGCGGAGUACCUGCGGAGGGAUCAUUACCGAGUUUACAACUCCCAAACCCCUGUGAACAUACCUAUACGUUGCCUCGGCGGAUCAGCCCGCGCCCCGUAAAAAGGGACGGCCCGCCCGAGGACCCCUAAACUCUGUUUUUAGUGGAACUUCUGAGUAAAACAAACAAAUAAAUCAAAACUUUCAGCAAUGGAUCU